CCAAUAGCGUAUAUUAAAGUUGUUGCAGUUAAAAAGCUCGUAGUUGAAUUUCGGGAUCAAAUUGUCGGUCGUGCCUCGGUACGCACUGGUAUUAUUGGUUCCUCCCUUCUGAAGAACCGCGAUGUCAUUAAUUUGGUGUCGUGGGAAAUCAGGACUGUUACUUUGAAAAAAUUAGAGUGUUUAAAGCAAGCGCACGCUUGAAUACAUUAGCAUGGAAUAA
rnacentral:rRNA from 1 species